rnacentral:rRNA from 1 species
GAGUUAUGUCAUGUUAUCGAUAUGUGAAUACAUAGCAUAUCAGAAGGCACACCCGGAGAACUGAAACAUCUUAGUACCCGGAGGAAGAGAAAGAAAAUUCGAUUCCCUUAGUAGCGGCGAGCGAAACGGGAAGAGCCCAAACCAACAAGCUUGCUUGUUGGGGUUGUAGGACACUCUAUACGGAGUUACAAAGGACGACAUUAGACGAAUCAUCUGGAAAGAUGAAUCAAAGAAGGUAAUAAUCCUGUAGUCGAAAAUGUUGUCUCUCUUGAGUGGAUCCUGAGUACGACGGAGCACGUGAAAUUCCGUCGGAAUCUGGGAGGACCAUCUCCUAAGGCUAAAUACUCUCUAGUGACCGAUAGUGAACCAGUACCGUGAGGGAAAGGUGAAAAGCACCCCGGAAGGGGAGUGAAAUAGAACCUGAAACCGUGUGCUUACAAGUAGUCAGAGCCCGUUAAUGGGUGAUGGCGUGCCUUUUGUAGAAUGAACCGGCGAGUUACGAUUUGAUGCAAGGUUAAGCAGUAAAUGUGGAGCCGUAGCGAAAGCGAGUCUGAAUAGGGCGUUUAGUAUUUGGUCGUAGACCCGAAACCAGGUGAUCUACCCUUGGUCAGGUUGAAGUUCAGGUAACACUGAAUGGAGGACCGAACCGACUUACGUUGAAAAGUGAGCGGAUGAACUGAGGGUAGCGGAGAAAUUCCAAUCGAACCUGGAGAUAGCUGGUUCUCUCCGAAAUAGCUUUAGGGCUAGCCUCAAGUGAUGAUUAUUGGAGGUAGAGCACUGUUUGGACGAGGGGCCCCUCUCGGGUUACCGAAUUCAGACAAACUCCGAAUGCCAAUUAAUUUAACUUGGGAGUC